CUUCUAAUCCCGCCUAUAGUAGAUGUUCUUGCCUGGAACAGUUUGUUUUUAGAUCUGAGAGAGCCCUGGGUUUCCCAUCACCACCUUACAUGGAAAUGUGUAGACUGUAAGAAUAAGUUCUUUAGAAAAGUGAGCUAGAGUUUUUGUUGUUGUUGUUAUUCUUGUUGUUUUUUUAAGUGUGUGUUUCAGCCUUGGCAGUGGAUUCUUUGGCAGUUGUGUGGCCCAGAGGGAACCAGACGCAGAGAAAAGUCAAGCCAGGGCCCUUCUCUGACCUGGGACUCAUCAGUAACAGCUCGACUCCCAGCAAGCCUCAAGGGAUCUAUCUGCCCAUCUUGGCUUCUCCGGCAUUGGGAUUGAGUGCCUGGCACCAUCCCUGGUUCUUCUGCAUAGGUUAAAAACGGCCGACUCAGGACCUCAGGCAGACACUUUAUAACUGAAAUAUUAACCCAAUAAAUAUUAAUUGAUUUUAGGCCUCUAUUUUAAUUAUAAUUAGGCCAAGCAGAUUGGGAGGUUAGCAAAUAGGCCUUACUAGUUAGAAGCUAUGAACCUGCAUAUACCUCCACUGACCCAUGAUGGAGAGACACUGGAGAAAAUUCUCGGUGAAUGUAAAUGGCAGGCCCGACAUGAGAUAAGAAUUUAGGUCUGUACUGUACCCUUUCUGGCCAGGGGAGGUAAGAGAUUCUUUCCUCCUACAGAGCACAAAAUUGAUACCACAGCAACACACCUUGGCAUUGGGGAUUUUAGUCUCCAGGUAUCUGCAGAAACUUGAAUUCCUUGGAAAGCAAAACACUCACAAUUUCUUGACCAGCCUUGCUGAUAAUUUCAUUUCCCAGAAGGCAGAGUAAGCAUUAAGGAGACUUCUGCUCAGGACCCAAUUCUGACAGAAAGCAGUAGGUAAAGUAGAAAUGAUUGGAACCUUGGGGGAAAGCAGCCAUGCAGGCUCCGAGUUUGAUUUAAACAGUGUUCUGCCUAUGCAAACACAAAUGGUUCUAAUGAGCAGGAAAACGGGGAGGAAACUAAAGGAACCAGCACGCCACACGGGGACUUGCUGACAGCCUCUGAAUCUCAAGCAGCAUGUGCAAGAGACGGGGAGAGGGGCACACAAGAGGGAACACAUACGGAAGCAGGAAUGGAGGAAGGCAGCGUGGACCUGUAAGCCCUCAGCAAGACUGGGGCACAGAAUGAGCCGAGGCUCCUGGAGGAUGCUGGAAAGAAGCAAAAAACGCUGUUGCUUGGCACAGAAUCAGGGGAAACAGCAACCAAGGAACAGACCCAGACCUUGACACGGAAGACUAAUUCAUUCAUGAAAGUAGGAAAGCAGAUGCAAAAGAAGUGCAUCCUUUUGUGCAUCUUCCCUUUAGGUCAUCCACCCCUUGGCUCACGUGUCACCUCCUCGGAGAGGACCUUGACCACACCUUUGGAAAACAGUUUCCCCUGAUAUCUUUUUGCCCUUUGACUUUUCAGUCUCCUGGCUGCUGGUGCCGUCAUCUUACGCACUGAAAUGUUUGCUUUCUGUCCCGG
rnacentral:lncRNA from 1 species